AGUGAACGCUGGCGGUAGGCCUAACACAUGCAAGUCGAACGGCAGCACAGCAAGAGCUUGCUCUUACGGGUGGCGAGUGGCGGACGGGUGAGGAAUACAUCGGAAUCUACUUUUUCGUGGGGGAUAACGUAGGGAAACUUACGCUAAUACCGCAUACGACCUACGGGUGAAAGCAGGGGAUCUUCGGACCUUGCGCGAUUGAAUGAGCCGAUGUCGGAUUAGCUAGUUGGCGGGGUAAAGGCCCACCAAGGCGACGAUCCGUAGCUGGUCUGAGAGGAUGAUCAGCCACACUGGAACUGAGACACGUUCCAGACUCCUACGGGAGGCAGCAGUGGGGAAUAUUGGACAAUGGGCGCAAGCCUGAUCCAGCCAUACCGCGUGGGUGGAGAAGGCCUUCGGGUUGUAAAGCCCUUUUGUUGGGAAAGAAAAGCAGCAGGUUAAUACCCCGCUGUUCUGACGGUACCCAAAGAAUAAGCACCGGCUAACUUCGUG
rnacentral:rRNA from 1 species